GGACCUAUUCCUUUGGAUGAGGACAAGGGUGAUUACGAAUAUGAUGAUCUUGAUAAGGUGGUCGGUGAGGACGAUGAUGAUUUGCUUGGAGAUGACAGUGAUGCGGAUAUUGGUUCUGUUGCUAUGAGUGAAGGAAGUAUAAGUGACGAUGACGAGGAUGUCAUUGGUGAUGAUGGAGAGGUUGAUUCUCCAGCCGAAAAUGGAG
rnacentral:misc_RNA from 1 species